CACGAACUGCGCAAACGUUAUUCGGAAUCACUGGGCUUAAAGAGUUCGUAGGCGGGUUGGUAGGUGAGGUGUGAAAGCCCUCGGCUCAACCGAGGAAUUGCGCUUCAAACCGCCAGUCUUGAGGGAGGCAGAGGUGAGUGGAACUGAUGGUGGAGCGGUGAAAUGCGUUGAUAUCAUCAGGAACACCAGUGGCGAAGGCGACUCACUGGGCCUCUUCUGACGCUGAGGAACGAAAGCUAGGGGAGCAAACAGG
rnacentral:misc_RNA from 1 species